rnacentral:rRNA from 1 species
GACGAACGCUGGCGGCGUGCCUAAUACAUGCAAGUCGAGCGAAGCGGCGGAUGGGUGAGUAACGCGUGGGUAACCUGCCCAUAAGUUUGGGAUACCAUUUGGAAACAGAUGCCAAUACAGGAUAAUAAAGGAUGGACUUGCGAUGCAUUAGCUAGUUGGUAAGGUAACGGCUUACCAAGGCGAUGAUUCAUAGCCGGGUUGAGAGGCUGAUCGGCCACAUUGGGACUGAGACACGGCCCAAACUCCUACGGGAGGCAGCAGUAGGGAAGCUUCCACAAUGGACGAAAGUCUGAUGAAGCAACGCCGCGUGAAUGAAGAAGGUUUUCGGAUCGUAAAGCUCUGUUGUUGGUGAAGCGGUAAUCAACCAGAAAGUCACGGCUAACUACGUGCCAGCAGCCGCGGUAAUAC